UAGUGUUAAUGUUAUAAGAGUGUAGUAUCAACUCACAAAGUUAUCAGGUUAAAUAGCUUUAUCAACUAAUAAAAAUGUUAUUGCAUCACUAAUGUUAUACUGUAGCCCCGCCACGAUAUCUAGAAAAAUUAUUUUGCUGAGUAUCGUAGUAAAAGCUAAGAUAUGAUGUUAAGAAUUUUUUUGAGUCGUGCAACAACAUUAACAGCAAACUAUAAUACAAA
rnacentral:misc_RNA from 1 species